rnacentral:rRNA from 1 species
GGGUUCUGCCAGAAGUAGUUAGCCUAACCGCAAGGAGGGCGAUCACCACGGUAGGGUUCGUGACUGGGGUGAAGUCGUAACAAGGUAGCCGUAGGUGAACCUGCAGAAGGAUCA